rnacentral:rRNA from 1 species
ACUCCUACGGGAGGCAGCAGUGGGGAAUUUUGCGCAAUGGGGGAAACCCUGACGCAGCAACGCCGCGUGAGUGAUGAAGGCCCUUGGGUCGUAAAGCUCUGACAGAGGGAAAGAAAUGCAGGGGGGCUAAUAUCUCCCUUGCUUGACGGUACCCUCAAAGGAAGCACCGGCUAACUCCGUGCCAGCAGCCGCGGUAAUACGGGGGGUGCAAGCGUUGUUCGGAUUUAUUGGGCGUAAAGCGCGUGUAGGCGGUUUUAUAAGUCUGAUGUGAAAGCCCUGGGCUCAACCCGGGAAGUGCAUUGGAUACUGUAAGACUUGAAUACGGGGGAGGGCAGUGGAAUUCCUAGUGUAGGAGUGAAAUCCGUAGAUAUUAGGAGGAACACCGGUGGCGAAGGCGGCUGCCUGGACCGAUAUUGACGCUGAGACGCGAAAGCGUGGGUAGCAAACAGGAUUAGAUACCCUGGUAGUCCACGCCGUAAACGAUGAGAACUAGGUGUCGCGGGUA